AAUGAAUCUGAUAUAUAUAUCUCUCUCUCUACAAGAUUCAGUACCAGUUUGGUAUUUAUAUUCAAGGGAAGAUUCUGAAGCCAGAAACAACUAACCUUGGAAGACCUCCCAAUGUACAACUAAUUACCGCAUAAAAUCAAAGUUUAUUCCCAAUGUACAACUAAUUACCACAUAAAAUCAAAGUUCUUCAGAAUAAAAUCACAUCAAGAUUGUUGUCUGCUUGAACUCGUUUGAGGUACUACAGCAUUUGUUGCACUGCACGUUCUCCUAAGAAAUUUUGGUUUAAACCAACUCGAAGAGCCAUUGCUUGUUUCUUCUACAGCACGGAAACUACCAGAAAUCCCAGGAUUGCUUAAAACCUCGACUGCUUCUGAAAUUCCAUUACCCCUCUGCUGGGGGGUGGCUGGGGUAGCUCUGUGGAAGGGUCGUUGAACCUCCAAAGAUCCGCUGGAAACAGAUGGAGAAGUUAGUUCACUUGAUGGAGGCGGCAAAGAACCCUUCUUUGAUGAGAAUGUAAUUCGUGAACUG
rnacentral:misc_RNA from 1 species